rnacentral:rRNA from 1 species
UGCUUCUUCGGAAGCAGAGACCGGCGCACGGGUGCGUAACGCGUAUGCAAUCUGCCUUUCACAGAGGGAUAGCCCAGAGAAAUUUGGAUUAAUACCUCAUAGCAUAGCACAAUCGCAUGAUUGAGCUAUUAAAGUCACAACGGUGAAAGAUGAGCAUGCGUCCCAUUAGCUGGUUGGUAAGGUAACGGCUUACCAAGGCUACGAUGGGUAGGGGUCCUGAGAGGGAGAUCCCCCACACUGGUACUGAGACACGGACCAGACUCCUACGGGAGGCAGCAGUGAGGAAUAUUGGUCAAUGGGCGCAAGCCUGAACCAGCCAUGCCGCGUGCAGGAUGACGGUCCUAUGGAUUGUAAACUGCUUUUGUACGAGAAGAAACACUCCUUCGUGAAGGAGCUUGACGGUAUCGUAAGAAUAAGGAUCGGCUAACUCCGUGCCAGCAGCCGCGGUAAUACGGAGGAUCCAAGCGUUAUCCGGAAUCAUUGGGUUUAAAGGGUCCGUAGGCGGUCUGGUAAGUCAGUGGUGAAAGCCCAUCGCUCAACGGUGGAACGGCCAUUGAUACUGCUGGACUUGAAUUAUUAGGAAGUAACUAGAAUAUGUAGUGUAGCGGUGAAAUGCUUAGAGAUUACAUGGAAUACCAAUUGCGAAGGCAGGUUACUACUAAUGGAUUGACGCUGAUGGACGAAAGCGUGGGUAGCGAACAGGAUUAGAUACCCUGGUAGUCCACGCCGUAAACGAUGGAUACUAGCUGUUGGAAGCAAUUUCAGUGGCUAAGCGAAAGUGAUAAGUAUCCCACCUGGGGAGUACGAACGCAAGUUUGAAACUCAAAGGAAUUGACGGGGGCC